rnacentral:rRNA from 1 species
UUCUUAUAACCUUAUUAUAAGUAAAAUCUGCUCAAUGCCAUAUAAAUAGCCGCAGAACUUUAACUGUGCUAAGGUAGCAUAAUCAUUUACCUUUUAAUUAAAGGUUUGUAUGAAUGAUUUAACAUUUAAAUAACUUUUUUAUUCAUUAAAAUUUAACUUAAACUAGACAUAAAAAUGUUUCUAUAAAAUAAAAAGACGACAAGACCCUAAUGAACUUUACUCAUGUUAAGCUGGGGAAGCUAGCCAAAUAUAAUUUUGACUUAAUUACUUACAAAACUUUCUGGACCAACCAAACUUAACAAGUUACCAUAGGGAUAACAGCGUAAUAAUUUUUUAAAGCUCUUAUUAAAAAAAAAGAUUACGACCUCGAUGUUGAAUUAGAAUUUCUAUAAAUCGCAAUAGUACUAAAAGUGGGUCUGUUCGACCCUUAAAUUUCUACA